AAGACAAUCUAAUAUAUACUCAGUACAAAGCCGAGUGUGACCAACUGCUUCUCCCAGACACCAGGCAAAUAUUCAAUGGCCCAAGACAAUGUAAUAUGACCUCGGUAUAAAGCCAAGUGUGAGCAGCUGCUCCUUCCAAACAGCAGUCAGGUCGGGCCGGGCUGUAUAAAAAAGGAAGGGCAGGCAGCUCGGCUCUCAUUCAGCAGCGAUUGGAGUG